GCCGGUUUAGCUUAGUGGUAGAGCGUUGCACUUGUAUCAUCACAUGUGGUGUAGCUAUGCAAAGGUCGGUUGUUCAAUCCAGCCAACCGGCA